GAUGAACGCUGGCGGCGUGCCUAAUACAUGCAAGUCGAGCGAACGGACGAGAAGCUUGCUUCUCUGAUGUUAGCGGCGGACGGGUGAGUAACACGUGGAUAACCUACCUAUAAGACUGGGGUAACUUCGGGAAACCGGAGCUAAUACCGGAUAAUAUUUUGAACCGCAUGGUUCAAAAGUGAAAGACGGUCUUGCUGUCACUUAUAGAUGGAUCCGCGCUGCAUUAGCUAGUUGGUAAGGUAACGGCUUACCAAGGCAACGAUGCAUAGCCGACCUGAGAGGGUGAUCGGCCACACUGGAACUGAGACACGGUCCAGACUCCUACGGGAGGCAGCAGUAGGGAAUCUGCCGCAAUGGGCGAAAGCCUGACGGAGCAACGCCGCGUGAGUGAUGAAGGUCUUCGGAUCGUAAAACUCUGUUAUUAGGGAAGAACAUAUGUGUAAGUAACUGUGCACAUCUUGACGGUACCUAAUCAGAAAACCACGGCUAACUACGU
rnacentral:rRNA from 1 species